GGCGGGAUGGCGAGCGGGGAGGAGGAGGCAAGGGGGCGGGAGGGUAAAAUGGCGGCGGUGGCGGUUGGGCGCGCGCCCGGGGAAGGGCGGGAAGCGCCUCUGCCUGCCCUCUCCCUGCCCUCCUCCCGCCUCCCGCCGCCGGGAAUCUCCGCCAGGAACGCGCGCACGCCGCCGCUCUGACAGCGCCGGGGGAGCGGCUUCUCCUGCCCGCCCCUUCCCUCGGUGCCUGGAGCCGCGCUCGCCGGGCUGCCUCGGGGACCUCCCGCCUGAAGAGAGCGCUUAGCACGCUAAGCCGAGCUCCGUGGCGAGGAAGCUCCCGGCUUCCAGGUCUUUGGGGUGGUUUCUUGGCGUUUUCCGCCGUCGGGGCGCGGGACGGAAGAGCCGCCGCCAUCUCCUUCCCGCGCCGCGCGGCUGAGGGUGCGGGGGCACCUGUGGGCGCCGCCGACCCGGACCCCGGGAAUGGGCGUUUGGAGGGCUACGCUACUCUGAGAACACAUAAUGGAAGAAUAAAAGGAGUCCAGAACGUUGCAGUUGUGCUCUGCUCCUGCCUGAGUUAAUGUAGUGACACCUUUCUCUUCUGCAGCACCGAUUUCAGAGCUUGAGCUGCAUCAAAGGCAGAUCAGAGGAUUUAUGUGCCCUGCAGGACCUUUUCCAGCAGGCUCCAACUGCCAGAACAUCCUCAGAGAUGGUUUUCCUGACACUCAGCUGUCUGAUUGAGGGCAGCCCCACACGAAGCCCGGAGUGACAGCAGGGACCUGCUGGAGCCAGGCUGAAGGAGCACAGCACAGAGCAUGGCUGACCUUGAGGCACUCCUGCUUUUGAGCACAACACAAUAUUGAAAGCCUCAUUCCUUUCACUGCACUGGUUGCCUUUUAUUUUUUUAUUUUUUUUAACUAGAGACUAAAUUGAAUUCUUUUCAAUUAAAUGAAAUGUUAGCUUCCAAGCUGAAGACAAGAGCUGUCAGUGGCCUGCUUACAGAGAUCCUCAGCCUCCUGCUCUUGCUGCUUGGUUUUUCCUCUUAACCUUUAUUCUCUCUGUCUGCCAGCCCAGCAGGGCUGUUCCAUCCCCAGGAGGCCUCUUCCCUUCCCCAGGCUCCUCAGCUGGGAAUAUUUGCUCUGGUCAAGUGCCAGCACAGCCCUUCUGGAGCAGAACUUAAAUAAAUGCAAGACUUGGGCAAUACUAAAAUCCUUAAUCCAAGUUUGGGGCUGGAUUAAGAGCAAGAAGAUGAAUUUUCAAAAUUCCCAUCCCAGCACUGAGCUGGCAGUUUAACUGGAGCCCAGUUAAAUCCCUGACCUGAUGCCUGGAAUGCUGCUGGGAACCACUGGAAGCCACGAGCAAGAGAGUCAGUUUUGAGUUCACCCACAUUUACCUUUGAGAACUUGACUUGCACUGCUCUUUCAGCACUCUGAGCUUUCUAACAUAUCUAACUAGGCUUUGGUGUCACUGCACCCUGAGAGGACAAAUCCAAAUUGAUUUACCCCAGAUAACAGAGAAUACUCAAAAUUUGGCCACAAAUACCAUGUAGGUACAGACAAGGCAUUGCUGAGCAUGAGAGGCACCAGAAACUGAACCACUCCCAAAGUGUUCCAGGCAGCUCCUGUUGGACAUUUGGGCCUCUUUUGGACUUGCCAGGAAAAAGUGCUGGGUGACUUUUAAUUUACAAGGAGUAAAUAAAAAUGAAAAUCUGA